rnacentral:lncRNA from 1 species
AGUCGACUUGUACAAUGUGCAUGAAAUGUGUAAUCGGCCUCGUUUUUUUUCUUUUUUCUGUCUGAACAUGUUUUCUCUUCCGAGCGAAGGGGAGAAAUCUCGGACAUGACUGGGCUAGGGGACUGGGAUCCGGUGCACGGCGUACCCUGCCCCCCUUUAUCCACCAUCCAAUCCAAUCGGACGGCCUGGAGCGCAGACGGUGAUUUUUUCUUUUUUUGGAAGAACAUGCAGCGAUUCAGCAGGCUAGUUGACUCCUUGCACAGUCCUUCAGUGCGAAAGACAUGGCGCUGAAUCUGCUGCCAUGGCCUACCGUUCCACG